rnacentral:rRNA from 1 species
GACGAAUGCUGGCGGCGUGCUUAACACAUGCAAGUCGAACGGUGAACAGGAGCUUGCUCCUGAGAUCAGUGGCGAACGGGUGAGUAACACGUGGGCAACCUGCCCCUCACUCUGGGAUAACUCCGGGAAACCGGGGCUAGUACCGGAUACGACCUGGAGCGACAUCUCUCCAGGUGGAAAGAACUUCGGUGAGGGAUGGGCCCGCGGCCUAUCGGCUUGUUGGUGGGGUAACGGCCUACCAAGGCGACGACGGGUAGCCGGCCUGAGAGGGCGACCGGCCACACUGGGACUGAGACACGGCCCAGACUCCUACGGGAGGCAGCAGUGGGGAAUAUUGCGCAAUGGGCGAAAGCCUGACGCAGCGACGCCGCGUGAGGGACGACGGCCUUCGGGUUGUAAACCUCUUUCAGCAGGGACGAAGCGAAAGUGACGGUACCUGCAGAAGAAGCACCGGCUAACUACGUGCCAGCCGCCGCCGUAACAC